CAGAGGGACAACGGAUAACCCAGUGUAGUUGCACCAGUAUCCUAUUUGCAUCAACAAACCUUUGCCAACUACAUUGAGAACAUCAAAUGAGAUAUAUACCUGCAAUGAUCCCUAGGAAUCCGCUGUAGUUUGAAUCGUGGAGGGUGAGAACAAGUUUCCUUCCGCUGAGAAGAGAUGGAUUAGAAUUGACGUCACGAACAGUAGCUUCCAUGGCGAGCGAUUCGUCGAAAAGAUGGCUCCAAUUUUCACCUCAUCAUCAGCUUCAAUAAUAAAGCAGAGGAAUGGAAGCAUUAACCACUUUAAAUUCAUAGCCGUAUAUCAAUAACCAGCAAAAGGAUAAUGAAUUAUAACUUGGAAACAGACAGGACAAGAACUUUUGGAGCAGCAGAAGAAGAAGAGAUGGAUGGAUACUGUAGUUCUAAGUUGGAUGGAUGGAUGGAUGGUAUUAAUUAAUUAAUUAGGGGGAUUAAAAACAUAAAAAUAAUCCAAAAGGCGUGGACGGUGAGAAUACUUGAGUAUAGAGCAACUUAAGGAUAUUCUAUUCUAUAUAAGCUCCUCAAUUCGAGUUGGAC
rnacentral:lncRNA from 1 species